UAAACCAGAUUUAGAAAUUUGUUUGGUUAAUUAUUCUCUAAACCAAACCAUUUGAAAUAAACCAAAGAGAUAUAUAAGUCGUAUACAUCUCCAUCUUUGACGAAACCUAGCCGCACACCUCCAAUUAAACCAUUGUUCACCUCCAAAAAUCUGAUGCACCGCGAUACCACCACCGGCUCUUCCCGUUGUCUUGGAGCCAUCACGCCAUGUCAGAGAGAGAGCCUCGUCAUCACUGGUCAAACGUCUCACGUGUUGUUGUCUCGCACCGAACUCGAGAGAUGUAUAUAUGACGUGAGGAUGAGGCGCACAAAGACGGAGCCACCGUCUCACCACCACCGCACCGAUCAGAUCCACACUGUUGUUAGUCGCAAGCCAUUGGAGGAGGCAGUCAUGUCACCGGAGAGUCGUGAUAGCCGGAGAUCGUAUCAGCCACCGUCAUCAACCGUUAUCUAGCUAAGUGUUGCCUCCUUUGUUACUUGUGCCACAAGUAACGUAUAUACCACAAACCUUAAACGUGUCUUUGCAUGUGUUUAGGUGUAGUGAAUCUUAUGCCAACCUGGAGUUACUUGCCCAUCAUUUAAAAUAAGGCGUACAAAGAUUUAUGGAACACGUUUUGCUCGACACCAUGAUUAUGAAGGAAUCUUUUAAAGUGAUGUUAGGCGAGAUCGUUCCCGAGCUUUUCAUGAGCUAUAUCCAAUAUUUGUUAAGGUGAGACUGACGAGUAUAUGAUAUUUGGAUGGAUUGGUGCUACUAGGCUUUUUAUUUGGAUUUUUAUUUGGGCUUAGGGUGAGUGGAGUCGUGUAUAUGGGCUAUUGUGUUAUGAUAGAUUGUUGGUGGUACGCUGUUCUCCAGAUAGGAGGUAACGGGUGUCACAAUUUGGUAGCAGAGCGGGGUUCCGUCCCGGCCUCGACCCGGGAUGGCGAUUAGGGGAUUCGGUUUUCUACGUUUUCUUUUUAAAGUAUAAAAUACUUUUUAUAUAUAUAUAUAAUAAAAAAAAAAUAUUUGCGAAGUUCUUUUAGCACCAUUCGAUCCAGUAAUUACUAACUCAAUUGUCUCUUUCUAUGACGAUGAGUAAAAUCAUCGUCAUUCAUCCUUCGGCUAACAGGGUUCUACACAGAUGUUCAGCAGCAGAUGUGUGAUGUCUCAGUUCGUCAGUUGUCUCAGGAGUGUUAUCAGUUCCUUCGGUCAUGAUUCUGAGAUUAUCCAGGAGUGGAUAUGUGACGUUUCUGCUUCCACCCUCUUUCAAGCAAUCGUUCCACGAGUUUUUGUUACUGGAGAUUAUGUGGUGUGACGUAUGAGCCAUCGGUUGGCAUGUGUUGUUUUUGUGUACGAGUAUGUUGACUAUUUUGGAGGUAUGUUCAGUUUGUAAACUCGUGGGGAUCGCUUUUGGAUUGGGAGUGUGGCAACUUGUGUUGUAUUGAUAUUGGAGUUAUGCUUGGUUUUGUUGUUAGUUUUUAGCAUUGUUGAUCGUUUGAGAGAUGUGUCAGUCAAACAACUGGCAUGGGACGUGGGAGAUAUUUAUAUUUAUCGCAGUGUACCAGCUAUGCUCGGAGGACUGAUUUGUUUGGGGACUCGUCAGGGAUGGAGCUACGCUUUUACGAUGUCAUCCUUGGGAUGGAUUGGAUGUCACCACAUAUUAUAGUGUUAGAUUUCCUAAGGGCAAAAGUUGAUAUUGCUGGAACAGAUGAGAGUUUUUAUUGCAUGCAUGCUACAUGCUGAGGAUUUAUUGGAUAAAGGAACAUAGGGUUAUUGGCGAGACCAUUUCGAUGGUUAAGAAUGUAGUUGAGGUCUUUGGAACGACCACCACCAGACACAAGAGAUGUCUUUACGAUUGAGUUGGAACCAAGGACAACACUGGUUUCACUAGUUCUAUACCAAUUAGCGGCAGCAAAGAUGACCGGGCUGAAAGAGCAUAUGGAAGAUUCAUCCGACAUGGGUUUUAUCAGACCGAGUACUUCACCGUGGGGAGCAUCAUUAUUUUUCUUAUAAAGAAAAAAGAUAGGAGUUUCAGUCUUCGUAUCGACUACAUAGACUUGAACAUGGUAUCCGCGUAUUGAUGAGUUGUUGGAUUACCUACAUGAGGUUCAUGGUUCUUGAAGGUCGACUUGGCAUCACGAUACCACCAGAUUGCGAUAGAUGACGAGGAUGUGCGGAAGACAACCUUCCGUAUUAUGGACAUUAUGAGUUUGUGAUGAUGUCAUUUGGGUUGACGAACACACCGGUAGCAUUCACGAAACUUAUGAAUGAGGUUUUCGUGAACACUUGGAUAAGUGCGUGAUUGUAUUCAUCGAUGACACCCUGAUUUAUUCUCCGAGUAGAGAGGAGCAUGCUGAGCAUUUACAGAUUGUGUUAGGUAAGCUUGGAGAGUAUUAAUUGGUUGCUAGCUGAGUAGGUGUAAUUUAUGGAAGAGAAAAAAAAAUUAGAUUUUUGGAUCACGUGUUGCAGAAGGAGGAGUUGAUGUUUCUUCAGAAAGAAUUAUUAUAAGUCCAGAGUGGCCGACAUAGAUCUGAAGUGUUACUAUCAUUGGUCUAGAGUGGAAAAAAAAAAGGAAGAGAAAAAUAUGUUGCUACAUUGUGUCUUCAUGUCAGACUUAUCAGAUGGUUAAAACAGAACAUCAAUUAUUUAUGGGAUUAUUAUACAAUCUACUUUUUCCAGAUUGGAAAUGAAAUAUGUUGAUUAUGGGUUUACUCAUUAGCCUAUCGGAGUCGAGUUUCAUGAAGAAUAAUAUAUGAGCGAUCAUGGACCGUAUCACUAAGUUAAAAUCUAGAGGACAUGUCCUUGACUUAGUGCUUAGCUCGCGAGGAAAAAAAAAUUGAGUAAAGUAUCUACCGCCGAAAUAAUUCAUAUACAGUAACAGUUCUUAUUCGAGCAUUCAGUUAUCACCUUACGAAGCUCUUUAUGGGAGAUCAUUCGCACACGUACUAUGAUGGACCAAAAUGGGGAAGCACUCUAAGGUACAGCAACCAAUGGUUUAAGGGACGUUAAAGCAAAUAGAAAUGCUCAAGAACUAAAGGAAGCUUACGGCAAAAAAAAAAAAAAAUUAUAUGCAUUCAUAGGAUCUGUGGAGAUUACAAAUCGACAAGUGGAAGCAGUUCAGAAAAUGAUGACCUUAUUGAUCAAAGUUCAAUAAUAGAGAAAUAAGAUCCAAGAGGAAACCUGAGAGACCGAGUCUAAGAUGAAGACUUAACAUUGAAAUUUUAUUUUGGAGAAUAGAACUAGCUGUCAAGUAUAGAGACUUGAAUUCGAGGACGAAUUCCUUGUUAGUAGGGAAGAAUUGUAACGACCCGGUUUCUCUAAACCAGAUUUAGAAAUUUGUUUGGUUAAUUAUUCUCUAAACCAAACCAUUUGAAAUAAACCAAAGAGAUAUAUAAGUCGUAUACAUCUCCAUCUUUGACGAAACCUAGCCGCACACCUCCAAUUAAACCAUUGUUCACCUCCAAAAAUCUGAUGCACCGCGAUACCACCACCGGCUCUUCUCGUUGUCUUGGAGCCAUCACGCCAUGUCAGAGAGAGAGCCUCGUCAUCACUGGUCAAACGUCUCAAGUGUUGUUGUCUCGCACCGAACUCGAGAGAUGUAUAUAUGACGUGAGGAUGAGGCGCACAAAGACGGAGCCACCGUCUCACCACCACCGCACCGAUCAGAUCCACACUGUUGUUAGUCGCAAGCCAUUGGAGGAGGCAGUCAUGUCACCGGAGAGUCGUGAUAGCCGGAGAUCGUAUCAGCCACCGUCAUCAACCGUUAUCUAGCUAAGUGUUGCCUCCUUUGUUACUUGUGCCACAAGUAACGUAUAUACCACAAACCUUAAACGUGUCUUUGCAUGUGUUUAGGUGUAGUGAAUCUUAUGCCAACCUGGAGUUACUUGCCCAUCAUUUAAAAUAAGGCGUACAAAGAUUUAUGGAACACGUUUUGCUCGACACCAUGAUUAUGAAGGAAUCUUUUAAAGUGAUGUUAGGCGAGAUCGUUCCCGAGCUUUUCAUGAGCUAUAUCCAAUAUUUGUUAAGGUGAGACUGACGAGUAUAUGAUAUUUGGAUGGAUUGGUGCUACUAGGCUUUUUAUUUGGAUUUUUAUUUGGGCUUAGGGUGAGUGGAGUCGUGUAUAUGGGCUAUUGUGUUAUGAUAGAUUGUUGGUGGUACGCUGUUCUCCAGAUAGGAGGUAACGGGUGUCACAAUAUUGUUUUGAAAUGUUUUUUUCUUAUUACUCAAAAAUGUCAUUUUAGAUCAAUUCCAAUGCAAUUUAUAUUUAUUUUCAAUUUAAUCUAGUUACAAAAUAUAUUGAUCUUACAAAUAAUUUUAUUUAUGUUUAAAUAUUAUUGGUUAAAUAUAUGUAAUUAAUAAUAACAUAAAUGUAUUACAAUUAUUUUUUAAUUUGUAUGAAAAGUGUUGAAGUGACACAUUUUAAUUACAAUUUUUUUUUUUUGCUAACUCACAUUUUACAAAUUAAACAUAUGAAACAUUACACGUCCAUCAAACAAAACAAACAACACAACCAAAAUGUUGAUAGUCUACAAGAAGUGCAAAUAAGCUAGUUUUUCUACACUGUAUUUAUUGGUAAACUAUUAUUCUGGAAAACCGAAUUUAUAAAUGUUGAACUAGGACAGGAAAAAAUUAUGGAUUUGAAAUUCCAAAUUUUUUAGUCUUAUAAACAACAAUAUCAUGUGAAAUGC